UCCGGUUUGUCACCGGCAGUCUCAUUAGAGUGCCCUUUCGUAGCAACUAAUGACAAGGGUUGCGCUCGUUGCGGGACUUAACCCAACAUCUCACGACACGAGCUGACGACAGCCAUGCAGCACCUGUGCUGGUACCCGACUCUACGGGUCGCCGACCCUUUCGGGCGACUACUGCCAGCAUGUCAAGCCCUGGUAAGGUUCUUCGCUUUGCAUCGAAUUAAGCCACGCGCUCCGCCGCUUGUGCGGGCCCCCGUCAAUUCCUUUGAGUUUCAACCUUGCGGUCGUACUCCCCAGGCGGGGCACUUAGUGCGUUAGCUACGGCACAGAGCCCGUUGAUAAGGCCCCACACCUAGUGCCCAACGUUUACGGCGUGGACUAC
rnacentral:misc_RNA from 1 species